GACGAACGCUGGCGGCGUGCUUAACACAUGCAAGUCGAGCGGGGAUUGAUGAAGUGCUUGCACGGAUUCAAUUCUAGCGGCGGACGGGUGAGUAACGCGUGAGCAAUCUGUCCUACACAGGGGGAUAACAGAUGGAAACAUCUGCUAAUACCGCAUAAGACCACGGGAUCACAUGUUCCUGGGGUAAAAGAUUUAUCGGUGUAGGGUGAGCUCGCGUCCGAUUAGCUAGUUGGUGAGGUAACGGCCCACCAAGGCGACGAUCGGUAGCCGACCUGAGAGGGUGAUCGGCCACAUUGGAACUGAGACACGGUCCAAACUCCUACGGGAGGCAGCAGUGGGGAAUAUUGGGCAAUGGGCGCAAGCCUGACCCAGCAACGCCGCGUGAGGGAAGAAGGUUUUCGGAUUGUAAACCUCUGUCCUCAAGGACGAAGGAAGUGACGGUACUUGAGGAGGAAGCCCCCGGGCUAACUACGUG
rnacentral:rRNA from 1 species